UACAGAGGUCCCAAGCGUUGUUCGGAUUCACUGGGCGUAAAGGGUGCGUAGGUGGUCGGGUAAGUCCGAUGUGAAAUCUCCAGGCUCAACCUGGAAAUGGCAUUGGAUACUAUUCGGCUUGAGGAGUGGAGGGGGGACUGGAAUUCUCGGUGUAGCAGUGAAAUGCGUAGAUAUCGAGAGGAACACCAGUGGCGAAGGCGAUCAUCUGGGGUUGUUCUGACACUGAGGAGCGAAAGCUAGGGGAGCAAACGGG
rnacentral:rRNA from 1 species